UACGGAGGAUCCGAGCGUUAUCCGGAUUUAUUGGGUUUAAAGGGUGCUCAGGCGGGCCAUUAAGUCGGCGGUGAAAUAUUGCGGCUCAACCGUAAAAGUGCCUUCGAUACUGGUGGUCUUGAGUGUGGAUGAGGUAGGCGGAAUUUGUGGUGUAGCGGUGAAAUGCAUAGAUAUCACGAGGAACUCCGAUUGCUAAGGCAGCUUACUAAGCCAUAACUGACGCUCAAGCACGAAGGCGUGGGGAUCAAACAGGAUUAGAUACCCU
rnacentral:rRNA from 1 species